CAAUAGCGUAUAUUAAAGUUGUUGCAGUUAAAAAGCUCGUAGUUGGAUUUCUGGUAGGAGCGACCGUGCCGAACUUGAUUGUUCGAGUAUUGUGUUGUCUUCAGCCAUCCUCGUGGAGAACUUUUCUAACAUUAACUUGUUGGGAUUGGGACCCGCGUCGUUUACUGUGAAAAAACUAGAGUGUUUAAAGCAGGCAUUAGCUUGAAUACAUUAGCAUGGAAUAAUAAGAUAGGACUUUGGUACUAUUUUGUUGGUUUGCAUACCAAAUUAAUGAUCAACAGGAACAGUUUGAGGAUAUUCGUAUGAACAUGUCAGAGGUGAAAUUCUUGGAUUUUGAUCAGACGAACUACUGCGAAAGCAUUUAUCAAGGAUGUUUUCAUUAA
rnacentral:rRNA from 1 species